rnacentral:lncRNA from 1 species
CAGGAGGAGCAAGGGACUUUGUACAUCUGGACACCUCCCCUGACACCAAUGGCAAAAGCAGUCUGUCUGAUCACCAGAUCUCAUUGCCUUCAUGGAAGGAAGCAGACAUUCCCCACGAUACACUCUGUGGUUCUGUGUGGGGGAAUCGUGGCCCCAGGACCAGCCGUGGGUCAAGAGGCUUGUGAUGGUCAAGGUUGUUCCUACAUGUCUUAAGGAGCUGUUAGAGAUGGCCCGGGAAGGGGGAGCCUCAUCACUGAAAACCGUGGACUUGCACAUCUCCAACAGCCAGCCGAUCUCCCUUACCUCUGACCAGUACAAGGCCUGCCUCCAGGACUUGGUGGAAGACAUGGACUUCCAGGCCACUGGAGAAACCUGAGCCCAGCUCAGCUGCUCCAAUAAAGCAAUUUAUGCCACCAUCA